GUUGGUUGGAUCCCUGCUUGGGCAGCGACAUCCCCCGUGCAAGCCUCUUCAAUUUUCGGCCAAAGAGCAAGUUAGCCUUGGUCGUGUGUCGGUUUCCUGUGUUGUAUACCUACUGUAAUGGAAUUCGAAUGUGCAACAUUUUGUUAUUCGCCUUGUGAUGUCCCAUCGGUUGUCCCCUUGGGUUGCGGCGCGGGGUGAACCUCGAAGUGAUCUUCAUGUUCUUCGUCACCCACGAAAUGUGUUGUUGGCGCGGCCCAUGAAGAUUGCUUGAGCUCUCGGAUACGGAAUAUGCUGAGGGUAGUAGGCCUAUGGCCUCUCUUUGCCCGAAUUAUGCGUUUAUUCGCUCAUUACCGAACGACGGCUGGCGGUGCCUCGAUGUGUUAGAGCCCUCUCGGGUUUUGGCAUCAUCGUGCGUCGCUGGCGUCAUUAAGGAAUGCUACCUGGUUGAUCCUGCCAGUAGUC
rnacentral:misc_RNA from 1 species